GCCAGCGUUCCAGUGGUGGCUGCAGAGAGAAAUUGUCUCAAAUUUGCUCACAGUAGAGAGGAUAAAACAGCAUCCAGGGCAUCCUGGAGUUGGGCAUGCGGAACAGAUGAUGGCUCAUGUAGGCUCAGGUCCUAAGCUGAGAAGUGUCAAGAGGAGGAUCCGGUCGAGGGCCUCCUGGUGCUAAGUACUCUUCUUGCAUAACACAAAAAUGGUCCUUGCCAAUGUUGAGCCCAAAGUCUGGGAGAGGGAUGCAACCCUGGUAUUAGGUCCAGAA
rnacentral:lncRNA from 1 species